rnacentral:rRNA from 1 species
UGCCUACGGGGGGCAGCAGUGGGGAAUAUUGCACAAUGGGGGAAACCCUGAUGCAGCGACGCCGCGUGAAGGAAGACGUAUUUCGGUAUGUAAACUUCUAUCAGCAAGGAAGAUGAUGACGGUACUUGACUAAGAAGCCCCGGCUAACUACGUGCCAGCAGCCGCGGUAAUACGUAGGGGGCAAGCGUUAUCCGGAUUUACUGGGUGUAAAGGGAGCGUAGGCGGCCAUGCAAGUCAGAAGUGAAAGCCCGGGGCCCAACCCCGGGACUGCUUUUGAAACUGUAGGGCUAGAUUGCCGGAGAGGG